rnacentral:lncRNA from 1 species
GCGCCACGGUGAUAUUUCGAAGGUGGAUCGUUGUGGCCCCGCCCCACUCUGCCGUAGCAUUCGCAGUGCAAGGCAUUGAAGAAGGAACAGGACCACAGCGGAGGCAGUGUUUGAUUGCCAAUAACUCGGCUUCUGCUGAACUCAUUGAAGUACUUUUUGCGGCAAUGUAUUUCUGAAAUACCCUAUUUUCCCUUCAAAUGCCUUUCUACACUUCGAUAAAGAGUGGUUCAGGGCCCCUUUAAUUCUAAAAGCGCGCA